GGGCCCGCACAAGCGGAGGAACAUGUGGUUUAAUUCGAUGAUACGCGAGGAACCUUACCCGGGCUUAAAUUGCAUAUGAAUAACUUGGAAACAGGUUAGCCGCAAGGCAUAUGUGAAGGUGCUGCAUGGUUGUCGUCAGCUCGUGCCGUGAGGUGUCGGCUUAAGUGCCAUAACGAGCGCAACCCUUGUGAUUAGUUACUAACAGGUCAUGCUGAGGACUCUAAUCAGACUGCCAUCGUAAGAUGCGAGGAAGGUGGGGAUGACGUCAAAUCAGCACGGCCCUUACGUCCGGGGCUACACACGUGUUACAAUGGGGGGUACAGGAGGGUCGCUACCUGGUGACAGGAUGCUAAUCCAUUAAAACCUCUCUCAGUUCGGAUCGAAGUCUGCAACCCGACUUCGUGAAGCUGGAUUCGCUAGUAAUCGCGCAUCAGCCACGGCG
rnacentral:rRNA from 1 species